GUUUCAAUAAACAUAGGGAUGCACACAACUUUUCAAAUUAGUGUUUUCAUUUUCUUUGGGUAAAUACGCAGUAGUGGAAUUAAUGAAUAUCUAUUUUUAAGUUUUUGAGGAACCAUAACACUUUUUUGACAAUAGCAUUAUAUUCAGGCCUUAUAAAAUGAAUGGGACAACAUUACUAUACCAGACUUAUAAAAUUAAUAACUCAAUACCAGAUGAUGGGGGAAGGCUUUAUUCAAACAAUUUUAUAUUACUAUUAAUAAUAUCGAUAUAAAAUAUAAACCACGUUUUUUACAUGACAUGACUUAAGGAACUACCAAGGUAAUGUUGCAUCUUUUCCCCAAAAGCUCUUUUCCUAAAUAUUUACCUCUGUGACCUACCUGUAUGUUUAUUUCUAGGUAAAAACUGUGUUUCGAUGGUGAAAAUAGCUUUCAAGUCCAUGAAUGAGGACACAUGUGUACUUUUAUGUAUACCUUUCCAUUUAUCAGAAAUAUAAGAGGGACAGAGAACUUGAGAGAGAAAAUCUUCAGGUGAAGCAAGCAAGCUGAAACUGAGGAAAUUCUUCCUGAAAGAAUGAUUUAUUUCUUCCAAAGAAAUUUGGUUUAUCAAAAUCAAUCAACAAAUGAGUGAACCCAUGGUGUGGUUAUUUACAGCAAAAUUUAAAACCCAACAGAUUUCUCUUUCCCAUCUAGCAUGCUUCUGUCUAACCUCUCAUCAUUAGUUGGAAGGGAGACUUACCUAAUGGGUGAACUUGGGAGAAGGAGCUAAGCAGUGCUUAUGUGUUUCUGAGUCUCCUCUUUGAAAAGAUGUGCCUGCCCACAGUAACAUGAAUUUGGGUCUGCUCUCAGCUCUGUGAAAGAGAAGAGCAGUGUUGUCGCCUACCCAGUGUCACCUGUCACAGCUCCACCAAGAAAAAUGACUAGACAACACUUACAGAAACAUUCUCUUCUUCCUUGACUUCAUAACUAAUGUACAUUGUUCAAAAGCAACGCCCACUCAAAAGAGAGAAAAAGUUGAAAGAAACCAUUUUAGAAACAAACAUAGAAAGUCAGACAAACUGAGGACACAGAGGAAUACCUUCCAAAUGAAAGAACAUGACAAAACCUAAGAAAAAAAAAACUAACAAAACUAAGAAAAAAAACUAAGAAAAAAAAAAACAGAGAGAAGUGAUGAGUUCAAGGUAAAGGUCAUAAAGAUGCUCAGUGAACUUGGGAGGAGAGUGAAUGGAUCCAGUGAUAACAUCUACAAAGAGAUAGAAAAUAUAAAAAAGAACCAAUCAGAGCUGAAGGAUACAAUAACAGAAAUGACAAAUACACUAGGGGGAAUCAACAGCAGAUAAGAAGAUGCAGAAGAACAGAUCAACAAUUUGCAAGACAGGGUAGUAGAAAUCAUCCAAGCUGAAAAACAAAAAGAAAAAAGAACUUUAAAAAUGAGACUAGGUUAAGGGACCUGUGGGACAACAUCCAGUGUAAUAAUACUUGCAUUCAAGGGGUUCCAGAAAAAGAAAAAGAGAAAUGGGCAAAGAACUCAUUUGAAGAAAUAAAAGCUUCAUUUUAAAAAUUCAAA